GGUAGCCGGAAGGGCACAGUCCAAGGACAGGGCAGGAGGUGAGGAGCCUCCCUCGGCCAGAGUCUGAUUCACAGGGUCAGCCGGCGGUCGGGUCCUCUCCACGACCUCCUCCGAUAUUUAGGUGGCAAGAUGGAAUAAUGUGUUUGAAUUCAAAUACACCCUCUGAUGAAGUUUUGGGGUGAUGAUGGGGGAUUCGGAGCUGAGGGCCAAGAAAGCAGUCUUGAAGACAUCUUUGGUGCAAAAAGCACACAUAGUAAACAGAGAAGAAGAUGAGCUGUGGAAGUUAGUAGACAAUACGUGUGCUUGAAUCUUGACCCCAUCAUUUUUGUGUCAUCCUGGAUGAUCUAGUGAGAUUUUGAAUGAGAUGCCACUGGAGGUCACUGGACAGAUACUAUUUGAAUGCAGAAAUCAGCAAUUAUCUUUUAACUAGGGACAUGAAACCAGAAACUAUGUUCCGGUGAUGGUGACUGCCCUGACAAGACCUCCCGCUGGUCCAGACCGCCCAGACCCUUUGAGAGAAACUUGAUCCAAGCCUGCACAGAUGGGCCAUGGAGUGACCUCUGGAAUAACCUACAAUUACCUUUACUUCAUUAUAAUUCUAAAAUCUUUGCCCAAGGAGGACCACCAGCCUCAUUGACAAAACACACAAUGUAUGUAUAGGCAUGUUUCCUUAAGGCACAUGUGUGACCUUAUGCCUGCUUCUGCGUACAAUGACAAGGCUUCCCUAUCUAAAUAUUCACCCUAACCCUAAACAGAAGGAGCCCAUUCACCCUCUCUCAGGGAGUCAUGGCUUUGGAAGCCAUUCCCCUGAUCUCCUUAUUUGCUGUAAGCAAAUUUUCUUUGUGGACAAUUCAAUCUGGUAUAGUUCCUGACUCAACAAGGAGCAAACUCAUGUUGGUUCAGUUACAGUUGAACUCAACUUGAACUGCCCCAGUUUAAAAUGCAAGCUGCUCAUUUUCCCAAUGCACGUCUAACCCCCUUAUCCAGGUGGCUUUUAUCACUUCCUAGUAAACUUGUUAUUUACUUAACUAUAUGUUUAUUAUUUAUUUUCUGUCUCUCCCCACUAAAAUUAAAUUUUCACAACACUUGUUUAUUCAUGGUGUUGCAUAGAACAAAGCCUGGCACAGAAGCCACUCAUUAAAUUCUCGUUGAAUACAUGAAUAAAUGAGACAUGAAAGUCUUUGUCAUCAGAAUAAGGUGAAAAACCCAUGUGAAAUAUCAAAU